UUCUCUGGCCAUAUCUCCCUGAAUGUAUCCGAUUUCCUCUAGUCUCGGAAGCUAAGCAGGGCCAGCCCUGGUCGGUCCAAAGAUGGGAGUAAACAGAGAAA
rnacentral:rRNA from 14 species